rnacentral:rRNA from 1 species
GACGAACGCUGGCGGCGUGCUUAACACAUGCAAGUCGAACGGAAAGGCCCUGCUUUUGUGCGGUGCUCGAGUGGCGAACGGGUGAGUAACACGUGAGUAACCUGCCCUUGUCUUUGGGAUAACUUCAGGAAACUGGGGCUAAUAUCGGAUAGGAGAUCCUGCUGCAUGGUGGGGGUUGGAAAGUUUCGGCGGUUGGGGAUGGACUCGCGGCUUACCAGCUUGUUGGUGGGGUAGUGGAUUACCAAGGCUUUGACGGAUAGGCGGCCUGGGAGGGUGGCCGGCGUCCAUGGGCCUGAGGUACGGCCCAGACUGCAACGUGAGGCAACAGUGGGGAAUAUUGCACAAUGGGCGCAAGCCUGAUGCGGCAGCGCCGCGUGCGGGAUGACGGCCUUCUGGUUGUAAACCGCUUUCGCCUGUGACGAAGCGGUAGUGACGGUACUGGGUAAAGAAGCACCGGCUAACUACGUG